UACGAAGGGUGCAAGCGUUACUCGGAAUUACUGGGCGUAAAGCGUGCGUAGGCGGUUUGUUAAGUCCGUUGUGAAAGCCCUGGGCUCAACCUGGGAAUUGCAGUGGAUACUGGCGAGCUAGAGUGCGGUAGAGGAUGGUGGAAUUCCCGGUGUAGAGGUGAAAUUCGUAGAUAUCGGGAGGAACACCAGUGGCGAAGGCGGCGAUCUGGGAAGAUACUGACGCUGAGGUGCGAAAGCGUGGGGAGCAAACAGG
rnacentral:rRNA from 1 species